UACGAGGGGUGCAAGCGUUGCUCGGAAUUAUUGGGCGUAAAGGGUUGGUAGGUGGUCUUGUUUGUCUAGGGUGAAAUCCCAUGGCUUAACUGUGGAAGUGCCCUAGAAACGGCAAGACUAGAGUCCUAGAGGGGUUUGUGGAAUUCCCGGUGUAGCGGUUGAAAUGCGUAGAGAUCGGGAGGAACACCAGCGGCGAAGGCGGCAAACUGG
rnacentral:rRNA from 1 species